rnacentral:rRNA from 1 species
UGACGUCAAGUCCUCAUGGCCCUUAUGACCAGGGCUACACACGUGCUACAAUGGCCGGUACAAAGAGUUGCGAUACCGCGAGGUGGAGCUAAUCUCAUAAAGCCGGUCUCAGUUCGGAUUGGAGUCUGCAACUCGACUCCAUGAAGUUGGAAUCGCUAGUAAUCGCGGAUCAGCAUGCCGCGGUGAAUACGUUCCCGGGCCUU